CGGCCACAUUGGGACUGAGAUACGGCCCAGACUCCUACGGGAGGCAGCAGUGGGGAAUAUUGCACAAUGGGCGCAAGCCUGAUGCAGCGACGCCGCGUGCGGGAUGACGGCCUUCGGGUUGUAAACCGCUUUUGAUCGGGAGCAAGCCUUCGGGUGAGUGUACCUUUCGAAUAAGCACCGGCUAACUACGUGCCAGCAGCCGCGGUAAUACGUAGGGUGCAAGCGUUAUCCGGAAUUAUUGGGCGUAAAGGGCUCGUAGGCGGUUCGUCGCGUCCGGUGUGAAAGUCCAUCGCUUAACGGUGGAUCUGCGCCGGGUACGGGCGGGCUGGAGUGCGGUAGGGGAGACUGGAAUUCCCGGUGUAACGGUGGAAUGUGUAGAUAUCGGGAAGAACACCAAUGGCGAAGGCAGGUCUCUGGGCCGUUACUGACGCUGAGGAGCGAAAGCGUGGGGAGCGAACAGGAUUAGAUACCCUGGUAGUCCACGCCGUAAACGGUGGAUGCUGGAUGUGGGGCCCGUUCCACGGGUUCCGUGUCGGAGCUAACGCGUUAAGCAUCCCGCCUGGGGAGUACGGCCGCAAGGCUAAAACUCAAAGAAAUUGACGGGGGCCCGCACAAGCGGCGGAGCAUGCGGAUUAAUUCGAUGCAACGCGAAGAACCUUACCUGGGCUUGACAUGUUCCCGACAGCCGUAGAGAUAUGGCCUCCCUUCGGGGCGGGUUCACAGGUGGUGCAUGGUCGUCGUCAGCUCGUGUCGUGAGAUGUUGGGUUAAGUCCCGCAACGAGCGCAACCCUCGCCCUGUGUUGCCAGCACGUCAUGGUGGGAACUCACGGGGGACCGCCGGGGUCAACUCGGAGGAAGGUGGGGAUGACGUCAGAUCAUCAUGCCCCUUACGUCCAGGGCUUCACGCAUGCUACAAUGGCCGGUACAACGGGAUGCGACACGGCGACGUGGAGCGGAUCCCUGAAAACCGGUCUCAGUUCGGAUUGGAGUCUGCAACCCGACUCCAUGAAGGCGGAGUCGCUAGUAAUCGCGGAUCAGCAACGCCGCGGUGAAUGCGUUCCCGGGCCUUGUACACACCGCCCGUCAAGUCAUGAAAGUGGGUAGCACCCGAAGCCGGUGGCCUAACCCUUUGUGGAUGGAGCCGUCUAAGGUGAGACUCGUGAUUGGGACUAAGUCGUAACAAGGUAGCCGUACCGGAAGGUGCGGCUG
rnacentral:rRNA from 1 species